CCGGCGUUCGGUGCGGGCCGGGGCCCUCGGUACAAGGCCGGGGGCCCUCGGCGGGCCGGUGCCGGGCCCCCGGUACGGGCCCGGGCCCCCGGC
rnacentral:tRNA from 1 species